UCCCUGGUGGCUUAGCUGGUAAAGAAUCCAUUUGCAAUGUGGGAGACCUGGGUUCAGUUCCUGGAUUGGGAA
rnacentral:tRNA from 1 species